rnacentral:rRNA from 1 species
AAAAGAACUUUGAAGAGAGAGUUCAAGAGUACGUGAAACCGUUCAGGGGUAAACCUGCGAAACUCGAAUGAACGAACGGAGAGAUUCAUCGUCAUUCCUCGGCGUACGGACGCGCGCCUCGAUGCCUUCGGUCGUUUCACGGCUGUUGGCACGGGUCGCGUCCGUCGACGUCCGAGGACGGCGUGCACUUCUCUCUUAGUAAAUACAUCGCGACCCGUUCGAUGUCGGUCUAAGCGCCGUACGGGAGCCCCGUUGCCCCUUCGCGGGGGUAGUGGGACCGCGACGGUGGCCGACCGGCCGUCGGACGGUAGUUCUGACGAAUCGCGCACGCGUUCUACACGCGUCCGGCCCGACGCAAGUCAACGUCGUAUCAUACGUCUACGCCAUAGUGCGGACGUGUGUGCGGCGCGUCUGGUGUCGCAGCCGUGCUGUCUCGGACUGUGCGCGUCUCUGUCUGCG